UAUUAGGUUGGUGCAAAAGUAAUUGCAGUUUUUGCCAUUACUUUUAAUGUAAAAAAUGCAAUUACUUUUGCAACAACCUGAUAUAUA
ensembl:miRNA